ensembl:lncRNA
AUUUACAAUAUUUGUUUAAUAUAUAUAGAGAGACAGAGAUAUAUUUAUAUUUAUGUUUAAUAUUGCAAACAUAACAGACGAGAAUCUAGCUAGACAUCUGACUUAGGCUGCAUUUACACCGCAGGUCUUGAUGCCCAAAUCCGAUUUUCUACUAUAUCCGACCCACUUACAUCAUCUUUUAAAAGUGACCCGUAUCCGAUUUUUGCAUUUACACUAUACACUGCUGAAACUACCAAACGUAGACGUUCUGACCCGGAAAAGGAAGUAAAACAGCACGAAAUACAAUGGAUGCAAAUGCAAAUAAAAUUAUACAGUGUUUUGCUUUCCACAAUAUUUUGAAAAGUCAACAAAAAAAUCAGCAAAACAUUGGUCUUGUACGGCGGAGAAAAAAAGAGGACUUAAAAGACAUGAAACCUCUACAUUGCUCCACUGUGUGUAUCCUUCGUCCACCAUCGCGCCUAUAAUAAGUCAUUUGAUCUCAGUUGACGUCACUUUUUUUUAUGACAUACGACUCGCAUUUACUGGGGAAUAUCUGAUUUGUCUGCUUACAUGGCACACGCAAAUGCAUGUAUCUGAUUCAUUUCCGAUUUAUUACCACAUAUGAAUGAGGCCUGAAUCCGAUCUGAGAAAAUCGGAAUCCAUGCGUUUUUUUUCCUGCUUACACGUUCACCGGUCAUAUCCGAUCUGUGCCACAUGAGAGGAAAAAAUCGGAAUUGGGUCACUUGAACCAUGCAGUGUAAAUGGGGCCUUAAUUAUGUCACACUACAGGACGGGCUGUCACACCACAGGACUCUUUCACCUUUGCAGCCAUUUUGAGUCAUUGCUAUAGAAGACUGACCUUGGGCCUUACAGUAACUGAAUAAGUUCAUUGUUUUAAACCUGAAUAUGAUUCUUUUAAAAAAUAUAUUGUAGCAUUCUCAGACAAGGACGAGGCAUUUUAAUGAACAAGGGGUGUUUAUUUGGGCUGUUGUCGGCCACAACCCACGCCGUACACACCCCGACUUCCAAGAGAACCCCACUUGAACCAGCGAGGCACUCUUCUCCCCCUCCUCUUUUCCGUUUUCCCUUACACACACACAGGGGCGGAGCCUCUUUUCAGAUCCAACUCGAAUAUCCAAUAACAGUUCGCAACUCAAAAAAUAAUAAAGUGCAACAUUAACAUUAAGCACAUUGUUAUCUACAACACAACAACAUUUUGAACAUGCUACAAUAUUUUUAUUUUUUCUCGAACUACCGGUAGAUCAGUCACACCCCAGGACUAUCAAAAAUGGACACAUUCAUGGUCUGACAGAAAUUAUGAAAUUUAUCAAAUUAAUAAGAGAUUAACACUCACCUUUUAACCUCCUUAGCACAUCCAAACAUCUGGGGGAUUUCCUGGUAGGGGGCUUGACUAAAGGGCCCAUAUGGCCGUCCAUGUAACUGCCAGUACAAAAAUCUAAUAUCAUGUGUCACACUGCAGGACAGCAUUUGUGUUUCAAAACUAAAUGUACUGUAAAUACUAUUUUAGUACUUUUUAGCAUUUUGAAAACUUAAGUUAAUUAAGUAAAUACAUACAAAAUAAUGCCAAGACAUUUAUUAGCUGCUCCAAACAUAUCUGCUUUAUUUUACUAAUAUUUACUUUUGAUGAGUCAU